AUGUUUUUCAACCAGUGCGGGUUGUCAUCCCCUUUUGUGUGCAAUCGUCUUUUUUUGUGCCGUCGCAUUGAUGAUUACUUUUAUGUACAGUUGGUGAUAUCUACUUUUGUACGUCGUCGAUGUGAUAUUUACCUUAGUGUUCUGUGACUUGAUAUUUACUUUUUUGUGUUCAACUGAUGAGAUAUAUACAUUGUAUGUGUAUGUACAAUCGACUGAUAUUCUCUAUUUUGCCUUGUCAGCAAUUUACUUUUGUGAGCAGUCGACGUUACAUUUUAUUUUGUGUGCCGACUUUUGAUAUACACUUUUGUGUGCAACCUCUGUGUCAUUUUUUGUUAGUGUACAGUCGAUUUGACUAUUGUUUAUGUAUAAAAUUGACUUGAGUUUUACGUUUAUUGUUUCGUUGAUGUACUUGAGCACCCCAGCUUUUCUAAUCAGUUAUCGAUGAGACAUUUCUAUUUGUGUACAGUCGAUUUGAUACUGCGUUCUCUAUGAAUCAGAUUUGUUACUAUGGUUUAUCUAUCCGCUCCAGUUUGAUAUCUGAUAUGUUGAAAAGAAGCAAGAAGAAAAAGACACCAGAAACGUCGUAAUAGCUAGGUAACUGAUAUUUUCAAAAGAGAGAAAAAAUAUAAAACCUCGGAAAAAGUGAGAAAUUUCAAUUAAGGAGGGGGAAGAUCUUCAAAAGAAACAAGAAGAAUAGACCAAAAACUUCGUAAAAGUCUGGUUUCCUGUAUCACCUUUCUUUCGUGAAUAAGACUCGAUGGUGGAUCAUAUGGGGGUUGUUUCUUUAACAGAGGUAGGGAUUACAAUUUCAAUGUUCCUAAAUUGUCCAUUAAAGCUACAAAAUAUUUCGGACCCCCUCGUUUAGACAAAGUACUUUCAUACCAUUUUUAAGGAUGUCUGUAAAGCAUAGUGUGAUUUAACUGGCAGAAAUGAAUUGUUAAGAAAAAAGUAUAUGCAUGAAAACGAUUUGUUUUCAUUUUAACAUGUAUUUACACACACACACACUCUCUCAUUCUCUCUCUAUCUCUCUCUCCUAAACACACAAAUAUUCCUCACAUUUAUCA